GGGCGGUUAGCUCAGCGGGAGAGCACUACCUUGACACGGUAGGGGUCACAAGUUCGAUCCUUGUACCGCCCACCA
rnacentral:tRNA from 1 species